AGAGUUUGAUCCUGGCUCAGAGCGAACGCUGGCGGCAGGCUUAACACAUGCAAGUCGAGCGGGCGUAGCAAUACGUCAGCGGCAGACGGGUGAGUAACGCGUGGGAACAUACCUUUUGGUUCGGAACAACACAGGGAAACUUGUGCUAAUACCGGAUAAGCCCUUACGGGGAAAGAUUUAUCGCCGAAAGAUUGGCCCGCGUUCUGAUUAGCUAGUUGGUGAGGUAACGGCUCACCAAGGCGACGAUCAGUAGCUGGUCUGAGAGGAUGAUCAGCCACAUUGGGACUGAGACACGGCCCAAACUCCUACGGGAGGCAGCAGUGGGGAAUAUUGGACAAUGGGCGCAAGCCUGAUCCAGCCAUGCCGCGUGAGUGAUGAAGGCCCUAGGGUUGUAAAGCUCUUUUGUGCGGGAAGAUGAUGACGGUACCGCAAGAAUAAGCCC
rnacentral:rRNA from 1 species